UGUUGGUUUUACGGCUGUGGUUGUUGGCGAGAUGACCUUUCUUCUUGCUGGAGUGAGGUAGAGCGCUUCAGCAAGUCCCGGAAGCGACGCAGACCAUUCCGAGACAGGAUGUCUGCGGGUGGGAGGUGACAGGCAGAGAAAGCUGGGGAGUCACAGUGGAGGAGAGUGAAAAGGAACGUGAGAAAACAUGAGGCUUGGAGUGGAGAGAUUCUGACGCUGACGUAGAGCACCACCUGUUCCAGUACAUCUCCUUUUGAGUCCUGGAGGCACCCUUCACCCUCAGGUUGCACAGCGGUGUUGGUUCCAAGCAAUUUAAGAUGCAGCGUUUCAGGGGCUGGUGAAAAAUGAGCACAGCUGAUGCAGCUAAUGGGCGACUAGAGUGUAGAGAGGUGAAGCAAAACAGAAGAAAAAAGAAAAGGGAAUAAAAUCCACGACAACAGUUGUGUGAAAUAUUCUGCUUUUACAUAGAUAAUAAUGUUCAGUUUUCAUUUACUCUGUCAGUGAUGUGAUAUGAUAUGCUGUUCA